rnacentral:rRNA from 1 species
AUUACAUGAGAGUUUGAUCCUGGCUCAGGACGAACGCUGGCGGCGUGCCUAAUACAUGCAAGUCGAACGGUCUUUUCUAUGGAAGCUUGCUUCCACUGAGAAGAUAGUGGCGAACGGGUGA